rnacentral:lncRNA from 1 species
AAGAAGAAGAAGAAGGAAACUCAACAGUCGACGGUAUCCCACAAAAACAAUAUAAGACACAUCCGAUACAUCACAGUUCACCAGAGAGAUUCAUGCCAAUUCCCUCCUCUUAGGUCCACGUUUAUGUUAGAUCUCAACUUAAGAUUAUAUCUCUCAAGGGACACGUUGGCUAUUGGUUUGCGUGAAACUUGAUGUAUAAAGGAAAUUUGAGAAAACGAAUAAACGUAUAUUUAUCA